CCUACGGGAGGCUGCAGUCGAGAAUCAUUCACAAUGGGGGAAACCCUGAUGGUGCGACGCCGCGUGGGGGAAUGAAGGUCUUCGGAUUGUAAACCCCUGUCAUGUCGGAGCAAAUUAAAAAGAUAGUACCACAAGAGGAAGAGACGGCUAACUCUGUGCCAGCAGCCGCGGUAAUACAGAGGUCUCAAGCGUUGUUCGGAAUCACGGGGCGUAAGGCGUGCGUAGGCUGUUUCGUAAGUCGUGUGUGAAAGGCGCGGGCUCAACCCGCGGACGGCACAUGAUACUGCGAGACUAGAGUAAUGGAGGGGGAACCGGAAUUCUCGGUGUAGCAGUGAAAUGCGUAGAUAUCGAGAGGAACACUCGUGGCGAAGGCGGGUUCCUGGACAUUAACUGACGCUGAGGCACGAAGGCCAGGGGAGCGAAAGGGAUUAGAUACCCCAGUAGUC
rnacentral:rRNA from 1 species